AUUUCGAACUAGACUUAGCUUGAUCGCCACGAAGAUUGAGGUUGUGCUGAUGUUAUCAUAGUUCGAAUCUCAGGAAUUGGAUUUAGGGGAAAAAAAAAUUGGAUUUAGGGGUUAGGGUUUUGACUAUUAAGGAAUUGGAUUUAGGGGUUAGGGUUUAUGGAAAUGUAGUUCAGAAAAUGAUUAGGAUAGCACUAAAAAAAGUUUUUGUCACAAAUAUAGCCUCUAAGAAUAAAAAUAACCAAAAUAGCACUUAAUGUUUUAUCAAAAGAGAUAAAUAUGCACUUAUAUCCCAGUGGUAAAUUAAUUUAGACAUUAGUGUUUAGAGUUAAGGGGUGGAGUUUGAGAUUUAGGAUUUAGGAUUUAGAGUUUAGAGUUUAGAGUUUAGAGUUUAGAGUUUAGAGUUUAGGUUUUAGGGUUUAGAGUUGGGGAGUGGGAUAAGAUUUCAAAUUUUGAAAAAUAAAAAAAAAUUUAAAUUUUUCAAAAGAUAAAAUGCUAUUUUGGUCAUUUUAGUUUUUGAGGGCUAUUUUGUGACAUAAACUUAGAAAUGUGCUAUUUUGGAGAUUUGCCCAAUGUAGAAUCUUUAUGCUGCUUUUAAUCCCAUUAUAUAGUAUUUGAAUUGUUUAUGCUGA